CUCUGCGUCAGGACUUAGCCCACAUGUGAACACUGUGUGCUCCUUCCAUGUUCACAGUGGAUAAGUUCUGCCGCCCAG
rnacentral:pre_miRNA from 1 species